rnacentral:rRNA from 1 species
UCUCAAGUAUGACAAGUGCAUCUGGUGGAUGCCUUGGCGAUAAGAGGCGAUGAAGGACGUGAUACGCUGCGAUAAGCGUCGGUGAGCUGCGAAUAGGCUUUGACCCGGCGAUCUCCGAAUGGGGCAACCCACCUUUUGAUCUGUUUUCCGAGAGCGGGCCUGCACAAAGGCGCGACUUCGGUCACCGGUCUCCGGUAACGGAUCAAGUAAAAGGUAUAAAAUCCUGAAUACAUAGGGGUUUUAAGCGAACGCGGGGAACUGAAACAUCUCAGUACCCGUAGGAAAGGACAUCAACCGAGACUCCGUUAGUAGUGGCGAGCGAACGCGGACUAGGCCAAUGGUUGAUCUGUAAUAACUGGAACCGUCUGGAAAGUCGGGCCAAAGAGAGUGAUAGCCUCGUACAGGUAAAAAACAGAUCAAUCUUCGAGUAAGGCGGGACACGUGCAAUCCUGUCUGAACAUGGGGGGACCAUCCUCCAAGCCUAAGUACUCCUUAUCGACCGAUAGCGAACCAGUACCGUGAGGGAAAGGUGAAAAGAACCCCUAUUAGGGGAGUGAAACAGACCUGAAACUGGAUGCAUACGAGCAGUUGGAGCGGGCUUGUCCCGUGACAGCGUACCUCUUGUAUAAUGGGUCAGAGAGUUAGUUUGUGCAGCAAGCUUAAGCCGAAAGGUGAAGGCGUAGCGAAAGCGAGUCCGAAUAGGGCGAUUUAGUUGCACGAAUUAGACCCGAAACCCGGUGAUCUAGCCAUGGCCAGGCUGAAGGUGCGGUAACACGCACUGGAGGGCCGAACCCAUCAAUGUUGAAAAAUUGUGGGAUGAGCUGUGGUUAGGGGUGAAAGGCCAAUCAAACCGGGUAAUAGCUGGUUCUCCGCGAAAUCUAUUUAGGUAGAGCGUCAUGUAUCCUCACUUCGGGGGGUAGAGCACUGGAUCGACUAGGGGGGCGCGAGCCCUACCAAAUCUAACCAAACUCCGAAUACCCGAAAGUGCGACCAUGGCAGACAGGCGGCGGGUGAUAAGGUCCGUCGCCGAGAGGAAAAGAGUCCAGACCUACAGCUAAGGUCCCCAAGUUAUGGCUAAGUGGGAAAGGAAGUGAAGACUCCAAAACAACCAGGAAGUUGGCUUAGAAGCAGCCAUCUUUUAAAGAAAGCGUAAUAGCUCACUGGUCUAAUUAAGAGUUUUUGCGCCGAAGAUGUAACGGGGCUAAAGCCAUACACCGAAGCUUAGGAUUUCAGAGAAUUUCGGUUCUCUGGAGUGGUAGCGGAGCAUUCUGUAAGUCUGUGAAGGGCAAUCGCGAGGUUGCCUGGAGAUAUCAGAAGCGAGAAUUCUGACAUGAGUAGCGAAUAACAGUGUGAGAAACACUGUCCCCGAAAGACCAAGGGUUCCUGCGCAAGGCUAAUCCGCGCAGGGUGAGUCGGAUCCUAAGGCGAGGCCGAAAGGCGUAGUCGAUGGCAACACGGUUAAUAUUCCGUGACCUGGUGGAAGUGACGAAGGUCAAAGUUUGUUCGGUCUUAUUGGAUUGACCGGGCGGGCGAUGAACUUCCAGGAAAUAGCUCCACCGCAUAGUCCGUACCCGAAACCGACACAGGUGGUCUGGUAGAGUAUACCCAGGGGCUUGAGAGAAGGAUGUUGAAGGAACUCGGCAAAUUGCUUGCGUAACUUCGGGAUAAGCAAGCCCCCUAUAAAGGCAACUUCGUAGGGGGGGCACAAGCCAGGGGGUGGCGACUGUUUAUCAAAAACACAGGGCUCUGCUAAGACGAGUAAGUCGAGGUAUAGGGUCUGACUCCUGCCCGGUGCCGGAAGGUUAAAAGGAGAGGUGAAAGCCUUGAAUUGAAGCCCCGGUAAACGGCGGCCGUAACUAUAACGGUCCUAAGGUAGCGAAAUUCCUUGUCGGGUAAGUUCCGACCUGCACGAAUGGAGUAACGACUUCCCCGCUGUCUCCAACAUUCACUCAGCGAAAUUGAAUUCUCCGUGAAGAUGCGGAGUUCCCGUGGUUAGACGGAAAGACCCCAUGAACCUUUACUAUAACUUCGCAAUGGCAUUAGGAAAUACAUGUGUAGCAUAGGUGGAAGGCUUUGAAACCCGGCGCCAGCCGGUGUGGAGCCGACAAGUGAAAUACCACCCUUGUGUUUCCUGAUGUCUAACCUAGGCCCGUUAUCCGGGUCGGGGACAUUGCGUGGCGGGUAGUUUGACUGGGGCGGUCGCCUCCCAAAGAGUAACGGAGGCGCGCGAUGGUAAGCUCAGGACGGUCGGAAAUCGUCCAUCGAGUGCAAUGGCAUAAGCUUGCCUGACUGCGAGACUGACAAGUCGAGCAGAGACGAAAGUCGGUCAUAGUGAUCCGGUGGUUCUGUAUGGAAGGGCCAUCGCUCAACGGAUAAAAGGUACUCUGGGGAUAACAGGCUGAUAGCGCCCAAGCGUCCACAGCGACGGCGCUGUUUGGCACCUCGAUGUCGGCUCAUCACAUCCUGGGGGUGGAGAAGCUCCCAAGGGUAUGGCUGUUCGCCAUUUAAAGUGGUACGUGAGCUGGGUUCAGAACGUCGUGAGACAGUUUGGUCCCUAUCUGCCAUGGGUGUAGGAUACUUGAGAAGAGUUGCUCCUAGUACGAGAGGACCGGAGUGAACGAACCUCUGGUGUACCGGUUAUUGCGCCAGCAGUAACGCCGGGUAGCUAUGUUCGGACGGGAUAAACGCUGAAAGCAUCUAAGCGUGAAGCCUCCUUCAAAACUAGGUAUCCCUAUCAGGGCCGUCGAAGACUACGACGUUGAUAGGCCGGAUGUGGAAGCGCUGCGAGGCGUGAAGCUAACCGGUACUAAUUGCCCGAUCGGCUUGA